GUGGAUUAGAUACCCUAGUAGUCCACGCCGUAAACGAUGAAUGCUAGGUGUGGGGGAGCAAUCUUCCGUGCCGCAGUUAACGCAAUAAGCAUUCCACCUGGGGAGUACGGCCGCAAGGUUGAAACUCAAAGGAAUUGACGGGAGCCCGCACAAGCAGUGGAGUAUGUGGUUUAAUUCGACGCAACGCGAAGAACCUUACCAGGUCAUGACAUCCCAGGAACCCGGCGUAAUGGCUGGGGUGCCCUUCGGGGAAUCUGGUGACAGGUGGUGCACGGCCGUCGACAGCU
rnacentral:rRNA from 1 species